GCCGUUUCCAGGCGUGGAGGGGGCCUGACGCCAGCCUUGGUCACGUUCAACUGACAGCUGUGGUUUGAACUCUUUGAUGUGCAGAGACACGGCUUGAAGGCAGUGCACUAAUGCCACGUAUGGUCGGGGUCUGGCUUCCUGUAGAUCAGAUUCGGGUGUGACUUUGGCAGGCCUGCUCAGGCGGGACACACGUCCUUCGGGAGGCAGAGUGGACCCAGUGGCACAGAAGCAGCCGAACACCUGCUGGGUCAGGGUGUCUUCAGAGACCCCAGGGUGAUUUAAGCUGGAGCAUCAGACCCUCCCCCGCUACUUUGUGUGCACACCCAGACAAGAGAGGGAGCAGAGUGGGACACCCUUCUGGGCAGAGACCACCCUUCGCAGACCCGGACUCAGUGAA